UACGUAGGGGGCGAGCGUUGUCCGAAGUUACUGGGCGUAAAGCGCGCGUAGGCGGUCCUUUAAGUCCGGGGUGAAAGGUUCAGCGCUCAACGUGAACAGUGCCCUGGAGACUGGGGGACUUGAGUGUAGGAGGGGGCAGUGGAAUUCCUGGUGUAGCGGUGAAAUGCGUAGAUAUCGGGAGGAACACCUGUGGCGAAAGCGGCGCACUGGACCACAACUGACGCUGAGGCGCGAAAGCUAGGGGAGCAAACAGG
rnacentral:rRNA from 1 species